UCUCCUCACUCGCUGUGUGUCUCUCGCUCUCCUUACAUAGCCAGCAGCUGUGUGUGGAACAGUUUGACAGCCGCACUGUCUCACCAAAGAAAGCUCAGCGCUCACUUUUUCUCUUUCUUAUUGCAGCUCUCAUUGUUUCCAGAUUCAGCAAGGGAGAGCGCAGUUCAUUUGGGCCUGUAACUGGAAUAAGAAAGCAUUGCUGUUUCUGACUGGGGAGAAGAAAGAGAGGAUUCCUCUGGGUUUCCAAAGAUAUUUAAACUGGCAGCCUUAUUUCCAAGGCAUUUGAACACAUCUAACUGGGUAUAUAGGAAAUCUUGAGGAGUUUUGCACUUUUGAUUCUCCAGUCUGAAGCUGCCCUGCUGUCAGUUUUCUUAUACUGGUGGGAAUACGAUUCAGUUGUUCUGCUGGCCAUUGAAAUGUGUACAUCUGACAGAAUGUUGGCACCUGCAUAAACUGUAAAGAAAAGC